CACUUUUCCUUUCCCUUUCCAGCUUUCCCUUUCGCUUUCCCUUCUGAAAGAAUAUAUUACCUGUGCAUUUCACACACUACACACACACAGAGAUCUGCAAUGGCGGCGAGCUUGGUUGUUGCAAAGGUUAUGGAGGCUAAAGGGGAGCUUAGAACAAGAUCAACGACGAGAAGCUCACUGUUGCUAUUGUUGGUAAUGGCGGUGCGAGCAAGAUUGCUUCUGCUGAAUCGAAGAAGAAGAGGAACAAGAAUCGGAUUCAUGUCUCCAACACUAAGAAACCGUUCUACUUCUACAUCAUCUUCCAAAGGUAUUAUAUGAUUUUUUUAUUCCUUCAUUUUUUUCCCUACCUUCUCCCUCCUCGAUUAUCUGCUAUUUGGUUGACAAGAAUCCGUAGGAAAAAGAAAAUGAACGAAGAAGAACUUUCUUUAAUCCACUGUUAUAUUUCUGUCACAGAAAUACAUCAAAAUUUCCUAUUUCUUCUGAAAAUUUUCUUUUUAGGAGGAUACAAUUUGAUUUUCUCACAUUGUUAUUUUGAUUGAAAUUCCCAUGGCUAUAUAAAUAUAAGAAAAAUCGUUUAUAUAAAUACAAGAAAAUUUCCAUGUUAUAAAGCUUCUGUAAAUUCUCUGUAACAGAAGAUCUGAAACUUGAAGAAGAUCCGAAGUUUGAAUUUGAUACAAAUUAGAAGAAGAUCCGAAGUUUGAAUUUGAUACAAAUUAGAAGAAGAUCCGAAAUUUGAGACAAAUUAGAAAGUUUUUAUUUUUUAUUUUUUUGUUCAUUUAACUUUUGUGAUAUCAACUUCUGCAACAAGGAUAUCAAACUUACCAUGGUUUGAGCUACAAGGUUAUAAUGGGUGGUAGAAAGGAUAUGCAGAAGGUUGGGGAGGGAAACAAAAAGCUGAAGAUGACUAUUCCAGUUUAGAGACCAGUCGUUACUCAAGCCAUUUCCUUUGAAGAAACGGUAAAGGAUGUGAAAAUUGAUCAGAAGAUGAAAGUCAAAAGCAAGAAAUGCAAGAUAGCACAUCUACCUGUGUUUCAAUUCAGCAAAAUUUGACAGAGCUAAACCAGUGGUUGAAGUAAUGGAUUCAACUAUAAGUUCAGGUGCAUUGCAGGAUAAUGUAGAAGAUAGAGUUUUAGGAGAAGAAUCAGAGGUUCUACUGAAAAGCAUUCUAUUUAGUCGAGGCAAGAUUUCAUUUUGUCAACAUCUUAGAUUUGGCCUACGAAUUACUACCUGAAGUUUCCAGCACCUUUUCCUCAUCUCAUUUUCCUUGAUACUUUGAAUUACUUUUGGUUGAGGUUGGGAAGGAUGUACUGCUUCUCGAUUCACUUGUGAAUGCUACUAAACAAGCAAUACAAGUCAUAUCUCAUAAGGUUGUAGGGUUUUUUAUGAACUUUUCGAGGGAGGUUAACACCUGGUAGACAUGGACCUUAAAAGGCAAUUGGAAUAUUACAUCUUUUGUUGCUUGGUAUAGUAUCUUGAUCUUAUAGAACAUUUUCGUCUGUUUGGAAUUAGUAUUUAUCUACUUAAUGGAUUUAUCCUUUGCACUUUUAAAAAGCCAACCAUUCAUUUCCAAAAGUGAGUUGUAGUAACAUUUUGUGCAAAACAAGAGAAAUAACAUCACUAUACUUCUUGGGUUUGCACUUUUUCAUAGAAUGUUCACAUAGCCAGCUCCUUUAAUUUCUUUAUUUGAUUUGCAAGUAGGUGCUUCAUUACUUCGAUUUAUCAUGAGAAAAAGGUAUGAAAGUGCAGCUUGUGGAUAUUUAGAGUUGAAAAUGCAUGGUAAGUUGAUUAUUGAAUUCUAAUUGUAAUUUUUGUCUCUUAGGGGAUCUACACAUAAAAAUAUUGAAGACAUGCUGGGAGUUAAGAUAAUAUUUCCAUCAUCACAGGAGGAUGAUUCUAUUGGUAGUCAAAAGCCAAAAUCUUGAUUAUUCUCAUUUCAUUUCACUUCCAUUGGCGAUACAUCCUGAAUUGGUUGAUAAGUGAAUCGCUUUUCAAAACUCCAUACAAUUGAGUGACCCUUGCUUGGAUGAGGAUGUGGAUAGCGAUACCAAUGAAGAUUGCAAUGACAAUAAAAAUGAAGAUAAAUUAGAUAAAGGACCUGAUGUUGUAGUGGAACUUAAAGCUGAUAACGACAAUGAGCAUGUUAAAGUGAAUCUAACCAGC